GACGAACGCUGGCGGCGUGCCUAAUACAUGCAAGUAGAACGCUGAAGGAGGAGCUUGCUUCUCUGGAUGAGUUGCGAACGGGUGAGUAACGCGUAGGUAACCUGCCUGGUAGCGGGGUAUAACUAUUCGAAACGAUAGCUAAUACCGCAUAACAUUAGAUGUUGCAUGACAUUUGCUUAAAAGGUGCAAUUGCAUCACUACCAGAUGGACCUGCGUUGUUUUAGCUAGUUGGUGGGGUAACGGCUCACCAAAGCGACGAUACAUAUCCGAGCUGAGGAGGUGGACGGGCAAAAUGGGACUGAGACAAGGGCCAGAAUCCUACGGGAAGGAGCAGGAGGGAAACUUCGGCAAAGGGGGGAAGUCUGAACGAACAAAGACGGGUGAGGGAAGGAGGUUUUCGGGUCGUAAAGCUCUGUUGUAAGAGAAAGAAGAGUGUGAGAGUGGAAAGUUCACGCUGUGACGGUAUCUAACCAGAAAGGGACGGCUAACUACGUG
rnacentral:rRNA from 1 species